CCCAAAUGAUGAGAAGAAUUUCUUCACCUGAAUUCCCAAUGUUGAGACAAAAUUCACGUUGACACUUUUAUUCUGAUGGUU